rnacentral:rRNA from 1 species
GAAAGCUUGGCGAUACAGGGUGAUAGCCCCGUAACCGACGCUUCAUCGAGCGUGAAAUCGAGUAGGGCGGGACACGUGAUAUCCUGUCUGAAUAUGGGGGGACCAUCCUCCAAGGCUAAAUACUCCUGACUGACCGAUAGUGAACCAGUACCGUGAGGGAAAGGCGAAAAGAACCCCUGUGAGGGGAGUGAAAUAGAACCUGAAACCGUGUACGUACAAGCAGUAGGAGCACCUUCGUGGUGUGACUGCGUACCUUUUGUAUAAUGGGUCAGCGACUUAUAUUCAGUGGCAAGGUUAACCGUAUAGGGGAGCCGUAGCGAAAGCGAGUCUUAACUGGGCGCUCAGUCUCUGGAUAUAGACCCGAAACCGGGUGAUCUAGCCAUGGGCAGGUUGAAGGUUGAGUAACAUCAACUGGAGGACCGAACCGACUAAUGUUGAAAAAUUAGCGGAUGACUUGUGGCUAGGGGUGAAAGGCCAAUCAAACUCGGAGAUAGCUGGUUCUCCCCGAAAGCUAUUUAGGUAGCGCCUCGGACGAAUACUACUGGGGGUAGAGCACUGUUAAGGCUAGGGGGUCAUCCCGACUUACCAACCCUUUGCAAACUCCGAAUACCAGUAAGUACUAUCCGGGAGACACACGGCGGGUGCUAACGUCCGUCGUGGAGAGGGAAACAACCCAGACCGCCAGCUAAGGUCCCAAAGUAUUGCUAAGUGGGAAACGAUGUGGGAAGGCUCAGACAGCUAGGAUGUUGGCUUAGAAGCAGCCAUCAUUUAAAGAAAGCGUAAUAGCUCACUAGUCGAGUCGGCCUGCGCGGAAGAUGUAACGGGGCUAAGCAAUACACCGAAGCUGCGGCAAUAUCUUUUAGAUAUUGGGUAGGGGAGCGUUCUGUAAGCCGUUGAAGGUGAAUCGUAAGGUUUGCUGGAGGUAUCAGAAGUGCGAAUGCUGACAUGAGUAACGACAAAGGGGGUGAAAAACCUCCUCGCCGGAAGACCAAGGGUUCCUGUCCAACGUUAAUCGGGGCAGGGUGAGUCGACCCCUAAGGUGAGGCCGAAAGGCGUAAUCGAUGGGAAACGGGUUAAUAUUCCCGUACUUCUGACUAUUGCGAUGGGGGGACGGAGAAGGCUAGGUGGGCCAGGCGACGGUUGUCCUGGUUCAAGUGCGUAGGCUUGAGAGCUAGGUAAAUCCGGCUCUCUCUAAGGCUGAGACACGACGUCGAGCUGCUACGGCAGUGAAGUCAUUGAUGCCAUGCUUCCAGGAAAAGCCUCUAAGCUUCAGAUAGUCAGGAAUCGUACCCCAAACCGACACAGGUGGUCGGGUAGAGAAUACCAAGGCGCUUGAGAGAACUCGGGUGAAGGAACUAGGCAAAAUGGUACCGUAACUUCGGGAGAAGGUACGCUCUUGAUGGUGAAGUCCCUCGCGGAUGGAGCUGACGAGAGUCGCAGAUACCAGGUGGCUGCAACUGUUUAUUAAAAACACAGCACUGUGCAAAAUCGCAAGAUGACGUAUACGGUGUGACGCCUGCCCGGUGCCGGAAGGUUAAUUGAUGGGGUUAGCGCAAGCGAAGCUCUUGAUCGAAGCCCCGGUAAACGGCGGCCGUAACUAUAACGGUCCUAAGGUAGCGAAAUUCCUUGUCGGGUAAGUUCCGACCUGCACGAAUGGCGUAAUGAUGGCCACGCUGUCUCCACCCGAGACUCAGUGAAAUUGAAAUCGCUGUGAAGAUGCAGUGUACCCGCGGCUAGACGGAAAGACCCCGUGAACCUUUACUACAGCUUGGCACUGAACAUUGAACCUACAUGUGUAGGAUAGGUGGGAGGCUAUGAAGACGUGACGCCAGUUGCGUUGGAGCCGUCCUUGAAAUACCACCCUUGUAUGUUUGAUGUUCUAACUUAGACCCAUUAUCUGGGUUGAGGACAGUGCCUGGUGGGUAGUUUGACUGGGGCGGUCUCCUCCCAAAGAGUAACGGAGGAGCACGAAGGUGGGCUAAUCACGGUUGGACAUCGUGAGGUUAGUGCAAUGGCAUAAGCCCGCUUAACUGCGAGAAUGACGGUUCGAGCAGGUGCGAAAGCAGGUCAUAGUGAUCCGGUGGUUCUGUAUGGAAGGGCCAUCGCUCAACGGAUAAAAGGUACUCCGGGGAUAACAGGCUGAUACCGCCCAAGAGUUCAUAUCGACGGCGGUGUUUGGCACCUCGAUGUCGGCUCAUCACAUCCUGGGGCUGAAGUCGGUCCCAAGGGUAUGGCUGUUCGCCAUUUAAAGUGGUACGCGAGCUGGGUUUAGAACGUCGUGAGACAGUUCGGUCCCUAUCUGCCGUGGGCGUUGGAAGAUUGAAGGGGGCUGCUCCUAGUACGAGAGGACCGGAGUGGACGAACCUCUGGUGUUCGGGUUGUGUCGCCAGACGCAUUGCCCGGUAGCUAAGUUCGGAAUUGAUAAGCGCUGAAAGCAUCUAAGCGCGAAGCGAGCCCUGAGAUGAGUCUUCCCUGACAGUUUAACUGUCCUAAAGGGUUGUUCGAGACUAGAACGUUGAUAGGCAGGGUGUGUAAGCGUUGUGAGGCGUUGAGCUAACCUGUACUAAUUGCCCGUGAGGCUUAACCAU